UUCGUUUUCAGUAAUAAGUUAUAAUGAAUAACUUUAGGUAUCUUUUCCUUGUCGCCUUACUCAUCCUGUUUGCUUGCAGUCUGCAUCUGCAAGUGGAGUGUGCUGAGAAAUCCCAGUCGAGUAGUCAACGUACAUUUGAAUGCCCGCGUAAAACACCAAACAAUUUGACAUGCAGAUACUA
rnacentral:lncRNA from 1 species